rnacentral:rRNA from 1 species
CUUGUACACACCGCCCGUCACACCAUGGGAGCGGGAUGCACCAGAAGUAGGUGGGCUAACCGCAGGGGGGCCGCUUACCACGGUGCGUUUCGUGACUGGGGUG